CUCCCAUGCACCUCAAUUUUGGACCCCGAGUGCAAGCGCCCUCCACACCAAGGAAUAAAUAUUAUUCUUCUUCCUUCCGAAAAGAAUUGACCAGCCUUGAUCUUCGGACCAGACCCGCGUGGCACCUGAAGCUGAGGGCGCCUCACAGCCAGCCGCACUUUCCCUUCCUUGUGUGUUCCCCUCGCUCGCUCUUCCUUCCUCACCCGCACCACUGCGGCCUCGCUUCCCUGACCCUGCACACGGGCGAGCACCGGCUGGCUGCGGGGCUCGGACAGCCGGCGGUCCCCGGGAACCAGCGGUCGUCCCCACCACACCCUGGGCUGCCGGCGCCGCGCCCUGGCCAUCUCCGCUGAGCACCGGGGCGAAACAGCCGCGCCGGCUUCCACCCGCCCCUCUACAUCUCACGGGCCAUGACUGCAAAACUGAGGUUCUUCCAUCUGCUGUCUGAUCUCUGAUGGAUGAGGCUACGAAAGAGAUCCUGAUGUGCCUGAGACUGUAUGUGUGUCCUCCAAGAGUGAAGUUUCUGUUUUCUCCAGUCCUGUGGAAGUCCUGCAAUCAAAUCCCACUGAAUGUCAAAGCCAGAUUCUCUAGGGAUUCCUCUUCCUGUUGACAGACACUGCACCCACCCCCGCAACCGGCUGGGAAGCCUGAUGUGGUGUUCAAAACUUUCAUUCCAGUGGGAGAACUUCUGAGUUACAGGGACUAGUAAAGCAGACAGAGUCAGGAGAGGAAGCAUUUCUGUGGUGGAGUGUUUCCCUUAAACCCGGCACAGACAGAAGAGCCACUUCCCAGGCGGGGGUGGCGAAGCCAACUGGUGGAACGCAAGCAAGAGUUACAGCAGCAACUUUACAGGAACACUGUGAUCUGACUUAUGUGGACCAAGAAGUUUGCAACAACCAACCAAGCCCCUCCCUCAUCUUGCCUUUAAAAGUGCUUUGCUGCAACCCUUUGGGGAGUCCCAGGUUUGAGGGGCACAAGCCACCCUUUAUCCUCAUGUGACACUUCAAUAAACCUUUCCUGGCUUCAAACUCUGAUGUUUUGGCCUGUGUGGCCUCACUGCAUCAGGCAUACAAACUUGCUCUUCAGUAACAGGUUGACUCUUUUCACCUGAUAACCCAAGGAGACAUUGUCACAAAACUUGCAAAUAGUCUCCUAAGGACCCGAGGGAGGAGACAGAUGGGCCCCCGGGCUAGACAGGUGGUGUUCGUCAAGUGGAGUAAAACUGAAGCUUUGUUCUCACCCAGACACUCCAAGGACAAAGCUAGUGGCAAAAGCUGAGCUCUACUAAAGUAAAGAGGUAAGGUACCGACUCCUGAGGUCAAGGAAGGCUUCCCUGUCUGCACACGCACAGGAAGGCUUCUUGAGGGUCGAAGAGGGAGUGGGCCUCGCUCCACAGGAAGUGUGGACAGGCGUGCACCCGUGGGCCUCUGUGGUGGGAUCCAUCUUAGAAAAAAGUGCACACAUAUUUAGGGGAAGGUCUUAGGGCAGUCAGGUGUGAAGAAAGAAAUGAUAAAGGUCAAAGGUAAACAAAGACCUGGAAGGAUUGUCCUGUGUCUAAGUGAUUUAAAUCACCUUUUUACUGUGCUCCUCAUUUAGGACAUCCACUCCCUUCACAGGAUAUCUUAUCUCGGCCUAGCUUCUGACACUGUGGCCCUCCGCGUUAGAGAGAACGCCCAUAUCCUGUCUCUCUGGGGGCCUAUUUCUGCCCUGCUUCUCUUAACCGUCUCUGUGUGCUCUCUCCUACAUUGUGCUGUGUCUCUGAUAAUAAACUUUGUAUCUGCUUUUACAGUUUUUGCCUCCUUGAAACCUUGCUUUCAGAUAAGAGGGAAGAGCCAGGGAACUUUCCUUCUAGCCUCUAUCCCCUGGUGGUCCAGUGACUAAGAUUCUUAGUCUUCGUCCAGGCUUUGUUGUCAUUGUUCAGUUGCUCAGUUGUGUCUGACUCUU